UUAACUCUUCAUUUCUUUUUAUUCAUUUUAUCUUCUCUCUCCGUUUCUCCCCUUUCUCAACCCCCCAUCAUUUCUCUCCAGAACCAAAUAAACAAAAUGGAAGCAAAAUGGUGAUGGUGACGCUUGGCUGGAAAAGAACCAUCAACGACGGUGGCUGAUAGAUGGAGGAAGUGGUCGACUCUCUGCAAUGAUGUCGAGACCAACUUGACUUCUCUAGAGAAGUUUUGGCGAUGGAGAUCGAAAGAUGACCGAGAGAUGGAACAGAUCUGGUCACAAAUCUUUCUCUCGUUUCUCUACCCAUCAUAGUAAAGCAAAAAUGUGAGAAACAAAUAAGAUGGAGAAAAGAGAGAGAGAAAUAAAAUUGUAUGCCUUAAGUUUUUAGUAGGAAUCAGAUUAGUUUUUAGGUGUAGGGAUGUUGCUGUGUUUGGGGGAUGCUUUCCUUGUUCAGAUCCCCCAGUUUUUGUUGUGUUUCGAUUUGCAGGAUUUGAUGUGUGCUCUGUUUCUGUGCUACUCCUUUUUUUUUUCUUUUCUUUCUUUUGUUUUGCUGGUUGCUCCGGCUCCAGCCUUUUGUACAGUCUUUUACCAACACAAUUUGUGUAGGUUGUUCAUAAUACAAGUACAUAUUAUUCACAGAAAAAAGUUUUUGGUAGGAAUAGUUGUUAGAUUUGUGAUUUGGAGUGGAUUUGGGAGAUGGAGGAAGGGCGAACGGGAAGAAUGCAGAAAACAGAAAUCUUGAUUGAAUGAUGAAGAUGGACAAAAACGGUGGAGUUUACAACCCAAACUCUAAGGAUUUUAUAAGAAGGUCAUUGUAACUGCCUAAUGUAACAGAAUGGUCAAAGUAACUAAACAUAAUAACAGAAAUAACAACUAAUUAAUUUUUCCUAACAGUCUGGUAACAAACUUUGAGUUUGUUUCCCUAAUACCCUCCCGCAAACUAAGCAUGGUUGAUUCCAAGCGUAGUUUGGAAAUGAGAUUUCGAAAAAUGUGAACAGGUAAUGAUUUGGUGAAAGGGUCCGCGAGUUGGUUAUGAGUAGAUAUAUGUUGGACUUUGAGAAAUUCAGUGAGGACAUUGUCUCGUAUGAAAUGGCAAUCUAACUCAAUAUGUUUUGUCCUUUCAUGUUGAAUUGGAUUCUCUGUCAUUUUUACUGCAGAGAGAUUGUCACAGUAUAUUUUGUAGGGAUGAGGUAUAUCAAUAGGAAAGUUGGAAAUGAGGCCAUGGAGCCAUUGAAGUUCAGCUGAAGUAGAGGCGAGUGCUCGAUAUUCAGCUUCUGUUGAUGAUCUGGAAACAGUAGGUUGCUUUUUCAAUUUCCAAGAGAUGAGGGAGUCCCCAAGAAAGACGCAAAAGCCUGUGACAGAACGGCGAGAAUCAGGACAUCCAGCCCAAUCUGAAUCAGAGAAGGCGUGAAUUUUGAAGGAUGAUUUAUUUGAGAAGUGAAGUCCAUGGCCAGCGGUGCUUUUGAGAUAUCAGAGGAGGCGAUGGGUGGCUUUUUCAUGAGCAGUGGUAGGUGCUGAAACGAAUUGACUAAGAUGGUUGACUGUUUGGCAUAUAUCUGGUCGAGUUGUGCAUAGAUAUUGAAGACGGCCAAGUAAGCAUCGAUAUGCUGUGAUUUCGUCGGGAUUUACAAGGGAUCCUUCUUUUGAGCUGAGGUGAAUACCAGGAUCACUUGGAGUGGAUGCUGGUUUGCAAUUGGUGUAGCCUGUGUCAGAGAGUAAAUCGAGUGUAUAUUUGCGUUGACAUAGAUGAAUUCCUUUUCAAUUGCAGGCGACUUCCAUGCUAAGAAAAUAUUUGAGGGGUCCUAGAUCCUUUAUGGUAAAAGCAAUGUCGAGUUGAUUUUUGACUUGUUUGAUUUCAUUGGCAUCUGAUCCUACCAAAAUGAUGUCGUCGACAUAGAUGAGAAGGGCUGUAAAUUUGUUAUUAAUGUUUUUGGUAAAUAAGGAGUAAUCCGAUUUGGACUGAGUGUAUCCUAAUGAUAUCAAAGUUUGGGAAAGCUUAGCAUGCCAUUGUCUGCUGGCUUGUUUUAGUCCGUUUAGGGAUUUAUUUAUUUUAUAAACGGUUUGUAAGAGUGAUUUUAACUCUUUUUGAAUGGCUUCUUGCCAUUGAGGGAGUUUAGCAGCUUGAGUAUAUGUGGUUGGUUCUCUUUGAGUAGUGAUGGCCAUGUCGAAGCUUUGAUGUCUUGGACUUAAUUUGGCAUAAGUCAAGAUAUGUUGCAUAGGGUAUCGUGUAGCUAUCAUGUUGCACUUAUAGUCUGAUAGAUAUUUUGGUUUGUGAAUUGCCCUUGUUGAUACUCGUUUUGGUGGGUUUGAGAUGGGCUGAUGAUUCUUAUGUUGAGAUAUGACUGAGGAAGAGUCAGGGAGAUGCUCUAUAUUUGAGGAAUGAUCAUUAAUGUUGGUAGAAUGGAGUGAUGAAUUGUUAUUUGAAGGAAUGGGUGGUAGUUCCUUGGAUAUGGAUAUAUUUGGGAGUUCAUCAGUGUGGGGCGAGUUUCCAUAGUUGGGGAGAGGAAGAUGUAUGAUGUUGUGAGGUUUUUGAUCAUUGUAAUAUGGGAAUAUGUUUUUGAAAAAAGUUACAUCACGUGAUAUAGUGAAUGAGUUGUUUGUGAGAGAGUAAAGGAUGAAGCCCUUUUUGUUAGGGGGGUAUCCUAGAAAUACACUAGGAGUUGCUCGUGGUGAAAGUUUUGAUCGUCCAUGAGAAAGAGUGGAACUAUAGCAAAGGCAACCAAAAAUGCGUAAAUGUGUAUAAGAUGGCUUUUGAUUAUAGAGGACCUCGUAGGGACUUUGAUUUUGUAAGAGAGGAGUAGGAGAUCGAUUGAUAAUAUGAAUAACAUGAUUGAUGGCAUGACUCCAAAAGGAUGAUGGAAGAUAGGAUUGGAAUAAAAGUGCUCUUGUAAUGGCAAGAAUAUGUUGAUGUUUUCGUUCCACGAGACUAUUUUGUUGGGAAGUUUGUACACAUGUGGUGUGAUGGAUAGUGCCAUUAGAAGCAUAGAAAUCGGGAAGUACGAAUUCUUUCACUUGUUGGAAAUGGAAGACGUUUUUGUUUGGCACAAGGACAAAUGGAACAAUGAAAUUCUCGCUGAAUUUGUAUUGUAUCAUUAGUUUGUGACAAUGUUUGCAAGCAUUUGCUGCCUAUAUGUCCAAGGCGAUAAUGCCAGGGAUCUAUGUUGUGCUUUACACGAGAAAAAUUGAAAGCUAAAUGUGUUGAGCUAGCAAGGACUGCUGCUGUGAUUAGAGGCUGAUGUUCCUCUGUAAUGGAAGGACUCGCCGGAGGGUGUUAAAAGCCAGAAUUUUCUGAUUCUUNNNNNNNNNNNNNNNNNNNNNNNNNNNNNNNNNNNNNNNNNNNNNNNNNNNNNNNNNNNNNNNNNNNNNNNNNNNNNNNNNNNNNNNNNNNNNNNNNNNNNNNNAAUGUACAGCCCGUUUGAUAGCUUAGCUGUACCAAUCUUCUUCAAAUGAGGGAAGCCCUGAAUCAAACACAAAUCGUUGUGAAAAAACAAGCUCAAUCCACCUGCUUUUGAUAAACACCUAAUGGAUACUAGAUUGAACGUGAAACUGGGAACUAGAAGCACAUUUUUGAGUAUCAUAUCAUCAGAAAAAUGGACAUUUCCUCUAUGAGUGGCUGGAACAGCAACUCCAUUAGGCAGAUACACAAAAGCAUCAUUGAUAGGCAUUACUUUCGUGAAAAAUUUUAUAUUGCAAACAAUGUGAUCAGAUGCACCACUAUCUAGGAUCCAUGAUAUUAGUGAUGGAUUAGAAGUGUGUUUACCUGAGUCUGGAUCCGUGAGAUGGUCUUGGUCUGGGCGAGAUACUGCAGCAUUGACACGGCUGAGUUGCUGACCAUCACGAGCUUCUUCAUGGAUCAUGGAUGGGGAUCUGCAGGAGUCUGGAUCCGUGAGAUGGUCUUGGUCUGGGCGAGAUACUGCAGCAUUGACACGGCUGAGUUGCUGACCAUCACGAGCUUCUUCAUGGAUCAUGGAUGGUGAUCUGCGAGACAUGUUUGGUUGAGGAGUAGGGGGUCUGGCUUGAGAGGUUGAUGCUCCAUCAGAGCUCUGGAAGGCAAUUAUCAUCCUUUGAUACUGCUGCUGAAAUUGAGACCACUCUGUCUGAGAGAUUUGGACAGAGCUCUGGUGAGUCUCAGCUGGAGAGUUUGACGGAGCAGCAACGGCAUGGGCGUGGGCCACUUUCUUUGCCUUUGGCUGGUAAACUGGGGGAUACCCGUUCNNNNNNNNNNNNNNNNNNNNNNNNNNNNNNNNNNNNNNNNNNNNNNNNNNNNNNNNNNCAACUUAGCCACAGUAUGAGCAAACAGGGCGUUUGCCUUGACGUUUGAAAGAAGGAGCUCGAGUAUUGAGCGAAGAUUCGCGACUAGAAGAUUCAGAACGGGUGAACAUCACCUGGGAAUCAACGGCUGAAGGAAACAUUUCCAUAGGAGGGCCGCCUUGAUCUCUCUCUUGUUGAAUCAUCAUAGCGAAUACCCGAUCCAGACUUGGUAGUGGAUCCAGCAACAUGCCCCGGGGACAAGCUCUCGNNNNNNNNNNNNNNNNNNNNNNNNNNNNNNNNNNNNNNNNNNNNNNNNNNNNNNNNNNNNNNNNNNNNNNNNNNNNNNNNNNNNCGAGUUCCUUGUUUGAGAGCGAAUACCUUUUCUUGAAGAUCCGCGAUCUUGAAGGCAUCACCCUGAGAGAACCUGGAGCGGAGGACAACCCAGGCUGAUCGAGCAGACUUAGAGUAGAGUAUACUCUUGGCAAUGGUUGGGGAAACGGAUCGAAGGAUCCAGCUGAGCACCAGUUUGUUGUUGCGAAUCCAGUAUGGAUAAAGUGGUUGUCCUGCGUCUGGGGCUUCAAUCGUGCCAUCCACGAACCCAAUCUUGUUCUUGCCAUCCAGCACCAUGGAAAUCGCCAUGGACCACUCUGAGUAGUUGUACUCUGUGAGAAGAGUGGACACCAGGUUCUGGCCCCAGUGUUCAGAGGGAUGGAUGUAGAAGGGGUUGGUGAUGUCGAGGAUGCCUAGGACGGCACCUUGGGAGGCGGAAUCAGCAGCGACUGGGAUAUUACCAGCUCCGGUGAGAGGGACUCCAGGAGUCUCAUAGUCGUUGAUGACCGCCAUUGAAGAAGAUGAUUUGCAGGAGACGAGAACGAGCGGAAGAAGAAGAGUGAUUAGGCGGAAGCAUGCAAAUGGAUCGAGGAUUGACGAGAUCCCUCUGAUACCAUGUUAGAUUUCUGUGAUGUGGAAAUGAUUUGGGAGAAGAAGGUGAAAGAAUGGAGAAGAAAGGAGAAAAACACAGAGAACAGAAUUUUGGAUUGAUUGGUAAAGGUGAACAAACGGUGGAGUUUACAACCCAAACUCCAAGGGUUUUAUAAGAAGGUCAUUGUAACUGCC
rnacentral:lncRNA from 1 species